rnacentral:rRNA from 1 species
GUUACUCAGUUCAGAUUGCAGGCUGCAACCCCGCCUGCAUGAAGUCGGAAUUGCUAGUAAUCGCGGAUCAGCAUGCCGCGGUGAAUACGUUCCCGGGCCUUGUACACACCGCCCGCACACCAUGGGAGCCGGUAAUACCCGAAGUCAGUAGUCCAACCUCGUGAGGACGCUGCCGAAGGUAGGAUUGGCGACUGGGGGUGAAGUCGUAACAAGGUAAC